rnacentral:lncRNA from 1 species
ACUGCAAUGCACAUUAAAAAUACUUUACAAGAUACUUGCACUUUCAUAGGUAAUAUGUGGAAUCUGUUUCCAAGUAUCAAGUCUUCUAUACGAUUUCACACAGUGUACAUAAUAGCUGCAACUCGGCUUUUGUAAUCAGUGGAAUAUAUUUCAGAUCUGUCCAGGUUGACACAGUUUGGUCAUCUUUGAUUUGUUUUAUGACUGCACCACAUAUUUGAUUUGUUUUAUGACUGCACCACAAUUAAUUAAAAUCUCUUCAUGCUGAUACAAAAUGAACAUAAAUAUGAUGACAUACCAACAUAGAUUUGCUUAUGUGGUUGCCUUUAUUGAUUUGUACUAUAAAGAAAUUAAAUAGAAGUAUUUCAGAUACCCCGAGUAUAGCUGUAUACACUGCCAUAGCUGAAAAACUCCAGUGUAUGCUUUUCAGAGAAUGACAUUGGAAAGAAGAAAUGGCCAAAGUAUCAUUUGGUACCUUGGCUUCCUUACAUAGAUGAUGAACUCCAGGAAUGAUCAAAUCACAGUUUAGAACCCC